GAUGAACGCUGGCGGCGUGCCUAAUACAUGCAAGUCGAGCGAACGGACGAGAAGCUUGCUUCUCUGAUGUUAGCGGCGGACGGGUGAGUAACACGUGGAUAACCUACCUAUAAGACUGGGAUAACUUCGGGAAACCGGAGCUAAUACCGGAUAAUAUUUUGAACCGCAUGGUUCAAAAGUGAAAGACGGUCUUGCUGUCACUUAUAGAUGGAUCCGCGCUGCAUUAGUUAGUUGGUAAGGUAACGGCUUACCAAGGCAGCGAUGCAUAGCCGACCUGAGAGGGUGAUCGGCCACACUAGAACUGAGACAGGGUCCAGACUCCUGCGAGAGGCAGCAGUAGGGAAUCUUACGCAAUGGGCGAAAGCCUGACGGAGCAACACCGCGUGAGUGAUGAAGGUCUUCGGAUCGGAAAACUCUGUUAUUAGGGGAGAACAUAUGUGUAAGUAACUGUGCACAUCUUGACGGUACCUAAUCAGAAAGCCACGGCUAACUACGUG
rnacentral:rRNA from 1 species